rnacentral:rRNA from 1 species
AGUGAACGCUGGCGGUAGGCCUAACACAUGCAAGUCGAACGGCAGCACAGUAAGAGCUUGCUCUUACGGGUGGCGAGUGGCGGACGGGUGAGGAAUACAUCGGAAUCUACUUUUUCGUGGGGGAUCACGUAGGGAAACUUACGCUAAUACCGCAUACUACCUACGGGUGAAAGCAGGGGAUCUUCGGACCUUGCGCGCUUGUAUGAGCCGAUGUCGGAUUAGCUAGUUGGCGGGGUAAAGGCCCACCAAGGCGACGAUCCGUAGCUGGUCUGAGAGGAUGAUCAGCCACACUGGAACUGAGACACGGUCCAGACUCCUACGGGAGGCAGCAGUGGGGAAUAUUGGACAAUGGGCGCAAGCCUGAUCCAGCCAUACCGCGUGGGUGAAGAAGGCCUUCGGGUUGUAAAGCCCUUUUGUUGGGAAAGAAAAGCAGAAGGUUAAUACCCCGCUGUUCUGACGGUACCCAAAGAAUAAGCACCGGCUAACUUCGUG